UGGGGAAUUUUGGACAAUGGGGGAAACCCUGAUCCAGCCAUCCCGCGUGUGCGAUGAAGGCCUUCGGGUUGUAAAGCACUUUUGGCAGGAAAGAAACGUCAUGGGUUAAUACCCCGUGAAACUGACGGUACCUGCAGAAUAAGCACCGGCUAACUACGUGCCAGCAGCCGCGGUAAUACGUAGGGUGCAAGCGUUAAUCGGAAUUACUGGGCGUAAAGCGUGCGCAGGCGGUUCGGAAAGAAAGAUGUGAAAUCCCAGAGCUCAACUUUGGAACUGCAUUUUUAACUACCGGGCUAGAGUGUGUCAGAAGGAGGUGUAAUUCCGCGUGUAGCAGUGAAAUGCGUAGAUAUGCGGAGGAACACCGAUGGCGAAGGCAGCCUCCUGGGAUAACACUGACGCUCAUGCACGAAAGCGUGGGGAGCAAACAGG
rnacentral:rRNA from 1 species